GCCUGAGUGGCUCAGUCGGUUAAGCAUCUGACUUCAGCUCAGGUUGUGAUCUCGCAGUUCAUGGGUUCGAGCCCCAUGUCAGGCU
rnacentral:tRNA from 1 species